GUGAGGAAUUUUCCGCAAUGGGCCAAAGCCUGACGGAGCAAUGCCGCGUGAAGGAUGAAGGCCUAUGGGUUGUAAACUUCUUUUCUCAGAAAAGAAUUAUGACGGUAUCUGAGGAAUAAGCAUCGGCUAACUCUGUGCCAGCAGCCGCGGUAAGACAGAGGAUGCAAGCGUUAUCCGGAAUGAUUGGGCGUAAAGCGUCUGUAGGUUGUUUAAAAAGUAUUCUGUCAAAGAUUAGGGCUUAACCCUAGAUAGGCAGAAUAAACUUUUAAGCUAGAGUUUGGUAGAGGCAGAGGGAAUUCCCGGUGGAGCGGUGAAAUGCGUAGAUAUCGGGAGGAACACCAAAGGCGAAGGCACUCUGCUGGGCCAAUACUAACACUGAGAGACGAAAGCGAGGGGAGCAAAUGGGAUUAGAAACCCGAGUAGUCC
rnacentral:rRNA from 1 species